rnacentral:lncRNA from 1 species
GGAAGAUUGCCCUGUCCUGAGGACAGGACAGCCAGCUUCAUGGGCACUUGACAUGAAAACCUCCAGUGGCCUCAGUACCCAGGUGGGGAGGGCAAAACCAAGGAACAUGAAGGUGUUGGGGAUGCACCUGGGCCUCAGCCUGGCAAAGAGCCCAAGAAACACCCAGAAGGCUGAGGAAAGGCUCUGCUGAGUCUAUCUUCGCUUUGUUUUUUGCAAGAAAAGUUUUCCUUUUAGGAAAAGCAGUCAUCUCUGUGCUGAGCACUAGGGAAACCUCAGAUGACUCAGCCCCAUGGAAAGCAAGCCACUUCCUGCCGUGUUAAAGGAGACUGCGCUGACCUUCAAAUCCAGCGAGUGGUGACACGGGUCUGUCAGCUAGUGUUAGGGAUUGUGUAGUUAUUUUUUAUGAAGGACACAGGAAGCCAGAGAAAAGAGACAUUCAGAAGGGAGAGAAUUCUAGAAAUUCAUCACAUUUUGUGGGAAUCCUUAAAAUAAUAAGU